AAUCUAUGGUUUCUUAUCACUAGGAUUGAAAACGCAUGAAAAGUUAUUUCGCGUGUUAUCCCUAGUUAUCUUAGUUUUUUAUCAAUGGGUAUUUUUUAUUUCGUAAGUUAAUUUGGCUGUUUAGUGUUCUAAUUUGUUAUAAAAAUAUAGGAUGGAAGAAGUAAUUUCAAUAUCAUCUGAUGAAGAAGACUUUGAACCAACUUCAAAAAAGGCAAAACUCGGUAAGGAUGUUGAUGACUGCAUAGUGAUUUCUGUUAAUGAGGGAAGAAGUAUCACUUCAGAUAGCACUAAACAGAUAAAAGAAGAAUCCAUUACAAUGGCAAGUGUGGACUCUCUAGAACCAUUAAAUGAAGAGGAGUUUUCAAAAGAAGUCAAAUCACAGAAUUUAGCGAUAAAUAACACUAAACAGAUAAAAGCAGAAUCCAUCACAAUGGCAAAUGUGGACUCACUAGAACCAUUAAAUGAAGAGGAGUUUUCAAAAGAAGUCAAAUCACAAAAUUUAGCGAUAAAUAGCACUAAUAUGGCUAACGGUGAAUCUAGUAAUAAUUCAUCAAAUUUUCAAAGAUGUUUGUCAGAGUUUUUAGAAUUAUGUGUAACAAUAGAAACCAAUGAAGCUUACAAAAAUGUGAUACUACAAAAGAUACCUUUAUUAAAAGAAGUUGCUGCUAGUAUUGAAUGUAAAUACUCUGAAUCAGAUCUAAUAGACUUAAUAGCAGCAAUCAAAUUAAAUAAAAAACAAGCAAAGGAAAAUCCAUCAAUGAUAUUAGUUUAUUAUGAUAAAAUAUAUAGGGAGCUUAAGUCUGCAUAUUAUACAAAAAACUAUGACACUAAUCCAAAAAAAGAGAAGAACAUUAGAGCUCUGGAGAAAGCAAUUUAUAACCUAAGAAAAAAAAUAAGUGCAUUGGAAGAGGCUGAAGUCGACUUUGAUGAAGAUGAAAAUUCUUCCUAUAUAAAAAUGCAAAGGUAUAUAAGUAUAAAAUAUGGUCAGUAAAAAGAAUAGUGAGUAAGAAAGUAACCAGGACAAGCAAUGAAACUGUACAUACUUGCAUGGGAUGGAUAUCUGAAAUGGUGCAUCCUACGAUUGGUAUCAAAUUUAUAAAACAAACUCAGUUAUCGAGUAGGUGGUGAAGAUACCUGAAUGAAUUUCUUUCUGUGACACGAACUGGAAGGGUAUCGAGAGAGAGCAGCCCAAUUAUAUAAAAGAUAUUGUGGGUAUAUCAAUGAAAAUCCAUACAAGGGCCGUCCAAGUUACAGUAGGU
rnacentral:misc_RNA from 1 species